rnacentral:rRNA from 1 species
CUUUUGUGGUUUUGGAUGGACUCGCGGCCUAUCAGCUUGUUGGUGGGGUAAUGGCCUACCAAGGCGACGACGGGUAGCCGGCCUGAGAGGGUGACCGGCCACACUGGGACUGAGACACGGCCCAGACUCCUACGGGAGGCAGCAGUGGGGAAUAUUGCACAAUGGGCGCAAGCCUGAUGCAGCGACGCCGCGUGAGGGAUGACGGCCUUCGGGUUGUAAACCUCUUUCAGUAGGGAAGAAGCGAAAGUGACGGUACCUGCAGAAGAAGCGCCGGCUAACUACG